GGUUGCAUCUCGCUUUUGAAAUCUGGGGGAUUAAAAUCAUUUCCGUAACAUGGGCAGCUUGACCUCCCUGUAACUAGGGUUUGCGUCUCCGAGGCCCUUUGGGUCUCUUGGCCUCGUGCUGUCUUCACAGCGUGCUGCGAAGGACCGCCCUGUCAUCAGGGAUCGGGUCUUUGCCCUCUAGUCUCUUGGCACUAGGCCAAAUGCAGCCACUGCCCCGAAUGAGCACCCUGUAAACAGGGUACAGGUCUCAUCAGCUACUAUUUAUGGUGCCCCCUGAGACUGUGUCCAGAGUACCGGCCCUUUAAGCAGCGCUUGCAACGUGCCUGGAAUUCUGCAGCCAAGUCUGCUGCUUUCUCCUCCCUUCUUGGACUCUUGGAGACCUGACAUGCUAUUGGUGGCCUCAUGAAGCAGAAGUGGAGAAGAAGGAAGUGUCAGGAAUGCCACAGACAGAGGAGAAAAGAAGAUGGAGGAAAAGGAAAGGAACUCUGGGCACAGUACCCUCCCUCAAAUCAGCCUCAGGUCAUGUAAUUAGACUGUAUGGGAAUCUCGAGCCUUUUAAUACCUUGAGCAGCGUGACCGCCCUGUAAGCUGGGUCCCGGUCUGUCCCCUUUGGACAUUCUGCUCCGUCAUCUGGCUAGUGUGAGUGACUGCCCUGUAAUGAGGGUGCCAGUCACCUCCCCCUUAAUGUGGAGGGGCAUUGAGCUCUUUCUUUAAUUGAGCAUUGUGACCGCCCUGUAACUAGGGUGCGGGUCUCUGCCGACUUGCUCAUUUGGCAUUACGCCAGGCUCUGCCCCACUAGUCAGCGUGACAACCCUGUAAUUAGGGUCCAUGUCACAAGGCUCUCCAGAAUGGGACAUAUCGAGCUCUUUGGUACUUUGACAUCUGGACCUUCCUGUAAUUCAGGUUAUGGUCUCUCCUCUUUGGCUAAUGCCAGUGACCAGCCUGUAAUGAGGGGACAGGUUGCAUCUUGCUUUUGAAAUCUGGGGGAUUAGAAUCAUUUCUGUAACAUGAGCAGCUUGACCUCCCUGUAAGUAGGGUUUGAAUCUCCGAAGCCCUUUGGCUGCUUAGUGAGUGUGACUGCCCUGCAAUCAGGGUGCAAGUCACCUCCCCCUAAAUGUGGGGGGGGCAUUGAGCUCUUUGUUAAACUGAGCAAUGUGACCACCCUGUAACUAGGGUCUGGGUCUCUGCCCACUUGCUCAUUUGGCUUUACGCCGUGCUCUGCCCCCUGGGUCAGCGUGACCGCUCUGUAAUUAGGGUCUGUGUCACAAGUUACUCUUAAAUGGGACAUAUCGAGCUCCUUGGUACUUUGACAGCUGGACCUUCCUUUAAUUCAGGUUAUGGUCUCUCCUCUUUGGCUAAUGCCAGCGACCACCCUGUAAUGAGGGGACAGGUUGCAUCUCGCUUUUGAAAUCUGGGGGAUUAGAAUCGUUUCCGUAACAUGGGCAGUUUGACCUCUCCGUAACUAGGGUUUGCGUCUCCGAGGCCCUUUGGGUCUCUUGGCCUCGUGCUGUCUUCACAGCGUGCUGCGAAGGACCGCCCUGUCAUCAGGGAUCGGGUCUUUGCCCUCUAGUCUCUUGGCACUAGGCCAAAUGCAGCCACUGCCCCGAAUGAGCACCCUGUAAACAGGGUACAGGUCUCAUCAGCUACUAUUUAUGGUGCCCCCUGAGACUGUGUCCAGAGUACCGGCCCUUUAAGCAGCGCUUGCAACGUGCCUGGAAUUCUGCAGCCAAGUCUCCUGCUUUCUCCUCCCUUCUUGGACUCUUGGAGACCUGACAUGCUAUUGGUGAAGUGGAGAAGAAGGAAGUGUCAGGAAUGCCACAGACAGAGGAGAAAAGAAGAUGGAGGAAAAGGAAAGGAACUCUGGGCACAGUACCCUCCCUCAAAUCAGCCUCAGGUCAUGUAAUUAGACUGUAUGGGAAUCUCGAGCCUUUUAAUACCUUGAGCAGCGUGACCGCCCUGUAAGCUGGGUCCCGGUCUGUCCCCUUUGGACAUUCUGCUCCGUCAUCUGGCUAGUGUGAGUGACUGCCCUGUAAUGAGGGUGCCAGUCACCUCCCCCUUAAUGUGGAGGGGCAUUGAGCUCUUUCUUUAAUUGAGCAUUGUGACCGCCCUGUAACUAGGGUGCGGGUCUCUGCCGACUUGCUCAUUUGGCAUUACGCCAGGCUCUGCCCCACUAGUCAGCGUGACAACCCUGUAAUUAGGGUCCAUGUCACAAGGCUCUCCAGAAUGGGACAUAUCGAGCUCUUUGGUACUUUGACAGCUGGACCUUCCUGUAAUUCAGGUUAUGGUCUCUCCUCUUUGGCUAAUGCCAGCGACCACCCUGUAAUGAGGGGACAGGUUGCAUCUUGCUUUUGAAAUCUGGGGGAUUAGAAUCAUUUCUGUAACAUGGGCAGCUUGACCUCCCUGUAAGUAGGGUUUGAAUCUCCGAAGCCCUUUGGCUGCUUAGUGAGUGUGACUGCCCUGCAAUCAGGGUGCUAGUCACCUCCCCCUAAAUGUGGGGGGGGGCAUUGAGCUCUUUGUUAAACUGAGCAAUGUGACCGCCCUGUAACUAGGGCCCGGGUCUCUGCCCACUUGCUCAUUUGGCUUUACGCCGUGCUCUGCCCCAUCAGUCAGCGUGACCGCUCUGUAAUUAGGGUCUAUGUCACAAGUUACUCUUAAAUGGGACAUAUCGAGCUCUUUGGUAUUUUGACAGCUGGACCUUCCUGUAAUAGAGCUUAUGGUCUCUCCUCUUUGGCUAAUGCCAGCGACCACCCUGUAAUGAGGGGACAGGUUGCAUCUUGCUUUUGAAAUCUGGGGGAUUAGAAUCAUUUCCGUAACAUGGGCAGCUUGACCUCCCUGUAACUAGGGUUUGCGUCUCUGAGGCCCUUUGGGUCUCUUGGCCUCGUGUCUUCACAGCGUGCUGCGAAGGACCGCCCUGUCAUCAGGGAUCGGGUCUUUGCCCUCUAGUCUCUUGGCACUAGGCCAAAUGAAGCCACUGCCCCGAAUGAGCACCCUGUAAACAGGGUACAGGUCUCAUCAGCUACUAUUUAUGGUGCCCCCUGAGACUGUGUCCAGAGUACCGGCCCUUUAAGCAGCGCUUGCAACGUGCCUGGAAUUCUGCAGCCAAGUCUCCUGGUUUCUCCUCCCUUCUUGGACUCUUGGAGACCUGACAUGCUAUUGGUGGCCUCAUGAAGCAGAAGUGGAGAAGAAGGAAGUGUCAGGAAUGCCACAGACAGAGGAGAAAAGAAGAUGGAGGAAAAGGAAAGGAACUCUGGGCACAGUACCCUCCCUCAAAUCAGCCUCAGGUCAUGUAAUUAGACUGUAUGGGAAUCUCGAGCCUUUUAAUACCUUGAGCAGCGUGACCGCCCUUUAAGCUGGGUCCCGGUCUAUCCCCUUUGGACAUUCUGCUCCGUCAUCUGGCUAGUGUGAGUGACUGCCCUGUCAUGAGGGUGCCAGUCACCUCCCCCUUAAUGUGGAGGGGCACUGAGCUCUUUCUUUAAUUGAGCAUUGUGACCGCCCUGUAACUAGGGUCCGGGUCUCUGCCGACUUGCUCAUUUGGCAUUACGCCGGGCUCUGCCCCACUAGUCAGCGUGACAACCCUGUAAUUAGGGUCCAUGUCACAAGGCUCUCCAGAAUGGGACAUAUCGAGCUCUUUGGUACUUUGACAGCUGGACCUUCCUGUAAUUCAGGUUAUGGUCUCUCCCCUUUGGCUAAUGCCA